rnacentral:lncRNA from 1 species
AUCUCGGGUUGUUUUGUCAUUAUCACGUUUGCCAUACCUGACUGGGUUGUCUCCCCAUUAAUUAUGGCAGUGUCUGCCCCAAGCUUGUCUUCUACUUCAACUGCGUUGUCUUUGACCUUUUGGUUGUCAACGUUUCCCAAGUCCUCUCUUGAGAGUGGAGUGUAAUUUGGAGGAAGUCCAUAAGGAGGGAGAGUUGGUGCCCCUGACACUCUUAUUUGCGAUCGUGGUGCGCGCGAAUCUCCUGGGCUUUGUAAGGCACUCAGGGCCUCUAGAAUUUGGCUCAUUUGUCCCUUCAGUUGUUGAAU